AACGGUAGCACAGAGGAGCUUGCUCCUUGGGUGACGAGUGGCGGACGGGUGAGUAAUGUCUGGGAAACUGCCCGAUGGAGGGGGAUAACUACUGGAAACGGUAGCUAAUACCGCAUAACGUCGCAAGACCAAAGAGGGGGACCUUCGGGCCUCUUGCCAUCGGAUGUGCCCAGAUGGGAUUAGCUAGUAGGUGGGGUAACGGCUCACCUAGGCGACGAUCCCUAGCUGGUCUGAGAGGAUGACCAGCCACACUGGAACUGAGACACGGUCCAGACUCCUACGGGAGGCAGCAGUGGGGAAUAUUGCACAAUGGGCGCAAGCCUGAUGCAGCCAUGCCGCGUGUAUGAAGAAGGCCUUCGGGUUGUAAAGUACUUUCAGCGAGGAGGAAGGUGUUGUGGUUAAUAACCGCAGCAAUUGACGUUACUCGCAGAAGAAGCACCGGCUAACUCCGUGCCAGCAGCCGCGGUAAUACGGAGGGUGCAAGCGUUAAUCGGAAUUACUGGGCGUAAAGCGCACGCAGGCGGUCUGUCAAGUCGGAUGUGA
rnacentral:rRNA from 1 species